UGGGGAAUAUUGCACAAUGGGCGCAAGCCUGAUGCAGCCAUGCCGCGUGUAUGAAGAAGGCCUUCGGGUUGUAAAGUACUUUCAGCGGGGAGGAAGGCGAUAAGGUUAAUAACCUUGUCGAUUGACGUUACCCGCAGAAGAAGCACCGGCUAACUCCGUGCCAGCAGCCGCGGUAAUACGGAGGGUGCAAGCGUUAAUCGGAAUUACUGGGCGUAAAGCGCACGCAGGCGUUCUGUCAAGUCGGAUGUGAAAUCCCCGGGCUCAACCUGGGAACUGCAUUCGAAACUGGCAGGCUAGAGUCUUGUAGAGGGGGGUAGAAUUCCAGGUGUAGCGGUGAAAUGCGUAGAGAUCUGGAGGAAUACCGGUGGCGAAGGCGGCCCCCUGGACAAAGACUGACGCUCAGGUGCGAAAGCGUGGGGAGCAAACA
rnacentral:rRNA from 1 species